UCCCCUCCCCUCCCCUCCCCAACUCUGCGUGGUGGAGACCCGGAUGAUCUGCUCUUACUAAUCUCCACCGUCAAUCUGAAGGUACACCGAAGCAAUGGAAGGCCGACGCAUGAAACAAUUUAUACUCCUCUGUCUCCCAACUCUUGGCACCCGUGUUGCUCUCGUAGGUGGUAACCACACCGCUGCCCGCUUCUGCACUCGCUAAUCUCACCUCCCGCUCUCCGGCAUUCUCUCCCCCUCGUCUCUCUCCC
rnacentral:lncRNA from 1 species